rnacentral:lncRNA from 1 species
AAAAAAAAACUUGUGACAAUGCAUGGAAUGUAAUUUUGAGUAUGAGGUUUAACCAUUUUUUUUUAUUGAUGAAUUUAUCAUAUAGAUGAAGCUAUUUUAUUAUUGUGUGUCGUGUUAGUGAAUGAGUUUUCUUUUAUUUUUUUCAGAUAUAUAUUUAAAACCUAAAUCAUGAUAUAUUGAUUUCUCAUCAUGCACACGAGUGGGUGUUGGGCAAAAUACAAGCAAAUUAAUUUAACAUCCAUGCAUAAUCAUAGUAGGAAUUUUCAGUUUUUGAUCAAAAGAACCAAAUAUAUUCUUUUUUUUUCUGUAACAAAAGAUGAUUUGUUCAGAAUACUAAGAACAGCAAAAUUAUUGGGAGUGAACAUUGAGAAAAUAUGGUUUGAACUCUGCUAUCAAAAAACACACGUAAAACAAAUAAAGGAAUAAAAGUUAUCGUGAAACCAUUUAUUUUAAAUAUUUGAUGUAUAAUUGUUAUUUAUUUUUAGAUUUUCGUUUCUUGAUUUUGAAUAUACUUUUAGUAUAAAUUUAUCCAUUUUUACUUUUUCAAAUAAUACUAUUGUUACGGUGGGUAACCAGAGAUUGGGGGGCCGGAUGACGUUGGUAGGCCCAAACGUGUGAGGGAGGAGACUAUCGCGUUUGCCCGAAACUCGGUGUUCCUCCGUCCGACUUGCACGUGUGAAAGAAUGGGGGGUGGUACCUGCAAAGACACUCCGAUGCCUAAGUUAGCAAGGGUAUAAGCAAGUUUAGAAUGUAUUGGACUUAGUGAUACCUGAGGGAAGUCAGGGUAUUUAUAGUGGUGAACCAAUAACCACCGCUGAAGUAGUGCCACCUUUUUAGGCGGAUAACCGUUCCCAUAUCUUAGGGAGGUUAAGAUAUGGCUCUAUGAAGUGGUUAGAGAGUUUCUAGGGGCAGUUACUCAUUCGAAUGAGUGUUAUCUGCCAGCUAACCCUCGUAUCCGACUUCUUUGGAGCAGGUCGUGUUUAGUACCGACUUCUGGGACGAAGGCUGGUACUGGAGGAGGGCCAACCCUUUGGGUUGGGCUUCUUUGCUUAGAUCUUGGGCCCUAUUUAUUGGGCCAGGGUAUGAACAGUGCCCCUACUCGAGCCCAAUUUCUUUUUAAGAGUUGGGUUCGAGUAUUCAACUCGGGGUUUUGGCCGAUUUGCAGGAGGACCGACGUGAUGGUUUAGGAACCGACGUGAUCUUUCUUGACCUUUCGGUUCUGACAGUUACGUCUAAUCAAGCAUCGUGUCCGUUAGGGGUGUGUGUAGAGAUUUAAUGGCCUUGGUAACGGUGCAUCUUCAUUAAUGACUGCCCCCAUUUUACCAUUAUGCCCCUAACGUCUUUAUAAAUACUUUCCCUCUCUUUCGUUGUUUCGUUUCUACAAUCUUUCAAAUUUCCCUUGCAUUUGUUCGUGCUGUAUUGUUGCGUUUCGAAGGUUCUUACUUCCUCCUGUCUUGAUUUCAGACUCAAAGGUUAGUUUUUUCCCUUCUGUGACAUGUUUUCUAUUUGCGUGCCUUUAUCUUGUAGGUAGAUUUGGUUUGUAGGCUUUAGUUUCGUGCCCCUUCCCUUAGAGACCGUGUGUUGAUUUUUCUUUUCUUUUGUAGGUUUCUUGUCACCCCCUUUUUUAAGAAAAGAAAAUGGCUUCCGUAGAUGCUCUCUCCCAGUGGGUAGACGUUACGGUUCUAGGGGAGGAGCCCUCCGUUAACACUGAAUUUAUCACCCACCUUCGUACUCACUAUAGAAUUUGUACUUCUGAAGAAGAUGAGCCCAAGUACGAGUUGGUAGUCCCGGGUCCAGAAGACCGGGUUUGUUUCGGGAGGGCUGACGAGACGGCCCCUCAUUUCUUUUUUAUGUAUGAGAGUAUGGUCACUCGUUUGGGCGUUUUCCUCCCUUUUUCAGAGUUUGAAAUGUCUGUAUUGCGUCAUUGCCGAGUGGCUCCCACCCAGCUUCACCCCAACUCUUGGGGUUUUCUAAAAAUUUAUCAAUUUAUCAGCCAGGCUCUAGAGUUUCCGACUUCUCUAAGGAUUUUCUUUUACCUUUUCCAUAUGACCAAACCCUUCAGUGGGCUAAAUAAUAAGCAACAGUGGGUGUCCUUUCGAGCCAUUCAAGGUCGGAGGCUUUUUACCCUUUUUGACGAGUCCUUUCACGACUCCCCUUUUUAUAAGGGUUAUUGUAAGUUAAAAAAUAAGUACCCUUUUUUGGAUAAGGGUUUUGAGUUACCUUAUGUGCGCAUGCUUUUUCUGUUCGUGGUUCUUUUGACUCCUUGAUCUUUUCUAGGGAAAAAAAAAACCUUUUCUUUGGGGCUUGCCUGCUUUUCUGAAUUUCCUUAAGGUAGCCUUGCUAUUCUUUCGUAGUUUUUCCUUAUCUCUUUUUGUUAUUCCUAGUGCUCAAUUUUGUUUUAUUGAGUUUUUCGUGACUUAGGCUACUUUUGCGAUUCAUUUUAGCUUUACUCGGCUUCGUUUUCCGACCUAUGAGUCGGAUUGCUUCCGAGUUUAUCAUGAUCGACUUUUAUAGCCUCUUUACGCCGACUUGUACCUCGUCGUUUUAUCCUGACGACCAUCUAGGUCGGUUCAUGGGAUUUUCACGUUUUGUCGAGCUUAAAUCGGCGCGUUUCGUAGAAGGAAAAAUAAAAAGGGAAUUUAAAAGAGAUAUUACGGUUUGUCCUCUUGAUCCCCUGCAUAUUCAGCAACGAAGUCGGCGAGGCACUGGGCUUUAAUCGCCGUCCGAGUUUCAUACUUUAAGUCGAACUCGGAGAGCUCUAUUGCCCAUUGUACCAUUCUUCCUGCAAUAUCCGUUUUUUGGAGGAUUUGCUUCAUGGGUUGAUUCGUGCGGACUCUUAUUGUGUGAGCCUGAAAGUAAGGUCGUAGCCUUCGAGAGGCUAUUACUAAGGAGUAGGCGAACUUUUCUAAUUUGUGGUACCUUAGCUCAGGGCCCUGUAGAACUUUACUGAUGAAGUAGAUUGGGUGUUGCCUGACCUCCUCUUCUCUUAUCAAGGCUGCUGAGACAGCCCUGUCUGCCACGGAGAGGUAUAGGAUGAGGUCUUUUCCGGCUAUAGGUCGGGUCAAGAUAGGAGGGUGGCUCAAAAACUUUUUGAACUCCUGGAACGCCUCCUCGCAUUCGGGAGUCCACUCAAACUGAUGCCCCUUUCUCAGUAGGGAGAACAGCGGAAGGGAUCUUAGUGCUGAUCCUGCCAAAAAUCUGGAGAGAGCUGCUAGUCGGCCAUUCAGCUGUUGGACCUCUCUCAAACAAGUCGGACUUUUCAUCUCUAGGAUAGCUCUACAUUUGUCGGGAUUGGCUUCAAUCCCUCUUUGUGUUAGCAUGAAUCCUAGAAAUUUUCCUGCCUCCACUGCGAAGGCGCACUUUGCAGGAUUUAGUCUCAUCCCGUGCAACCUUAUGGUGUCGAAGACUUGUGAGAGGUCCGGAACCCUCCUGAGAUCAUAUGGAUAUGUCUUUCCGGAGUUUGCGGUGGUGGGUCUCUUUUGUCCAUAUCAUCUCGCUUUCUUUUUCCAUGACUGUCCGACCUUUCUAUGAGAUAUCUGUCAAGCCGACCUUCUCUGGCUAGCUUUUCUAUCACAUUUUUAAGGUCGUAACAGUCGUUUGUGGAGUGCCCAUAUAUUUUAUUGUACUCACAGUAAUCACCGCGGCUCCCUCCUCUUUUAUUUUUAAUGGGCCUGGGAGGAGGCAGCCUUUCGGUAUUACAAAUUUCUCUGUAUACAUCCACUACAGGGACUUUCAAUGGAGUAUAAGAGUGAUAUUUUCUUGGCCUAUCAAGGCCGGGCUCUUCCUUCUUCUUCGCUUCCCUCUCCCUCUCUUUCGUUGAGGGAGGGUGCCCGAGUCGCGAACUUGGGUCUCUUAGCCUAGCGUUUUCUUCCAUAUUGAUGUAUUUUUCGGCUCUUUCCUGUACAUCAUUUAAAGAGGCGGGGUGUCUUUUUGAUAUGGACUGUGAGAAGGGACCUUCUCUGAGACCAUUGACUAGCCCCAUGAUGACUGCUUCGGUGGGCAGGUCUUGAAUCUCCAAACAUGCUUUGUUGAACCUUUCCAUAUAGGCCCGUAAGGACUCUACGACCUCCUGUUUUAUUCCCAGGAGACUUGGUGCGAAGCUUAAACUAAAAACAUUGUAGAUUUUGAAGAAAAAAAUAUUAAUUAUAAAAAAUUGGGCUAUAAUGUUAAAAUUAUGAUUUUGCCACCACUAAUAUUCUAUCAUUUUAAAUUUGGUAUUUUUUCAAAUCUUUUAUGGUUGUUCCUUAAAUUUUCUCAAAACCUUAAAAAUAAAAAUUAAAUGUCAUUUUCAAUCCGGACCUUUUUUUUUUCACAAGACAAGGCGUCCUUCCACAAUUUGAAAAUUCCAAAUCGGUCUUCGAUUAUCCAAGUAAUUAGUCUAAAUUACCCCUUUAAAUGGUGACUUGUUAAUGUUUCUAGACUACUUAGACCAAUUACUUGGAUGGUUAAAACCCAAUUAGAGAUUUUCGAUUUGUGAAGAGAUAUUUCAUCAUUCAGACAUUAUUGAGAAUCUUGACCAAAAAAAAAAGACAUUAUUGAGAAUCAAAAAGGCAUACUCAAAAAUAGAAAAAUUUUGCUAACAAGUAACAAGAACACUUAUUAACAAUACAAUUUAGGGAGAAUAAAACUUGAAGUUUUUAAUGCACAUAAGUUUGCUUUUCCUAUAAGAUCAUUUCCUUCUAGUGCAAUUGUUAGUAAAUAAGUAAAAACAGGUAACCGCAAUGUUGAACCAUAGCAUUGGGAAAUAUAAUACAGACUUUAUUUAUAUUAUCUUUAGACUAAAUUCAANNNNNNNNNNNNNNNNNNNNNNNNNNNNNNNNNNNNNNNNNNNNNNNNNNNNNNNNNNNNNNNNNNNNNNNNNNNNNNNNNNNNNNNNNNNNNNNNNNNNNNNNNNNNNNNNNNNNNNNNNNNNNNNNNNNNNNNNNNNNNNNNNNNNNNNNNNNNNNNNNNNNNNNNNNNNNNNNNNNNNNNNNNNNNNNNNNNNNNNNNNNNNNNNNNNNNNNNNNNNNNNNNNNNNNNNNNNNNNNNNNNNNNNNNNNNNNNNNNNNNNNNNNNNNNNNNNNNNNNNNNNNNNNNNNNNNNNNNNNNNNNNNNNNNNNNNNNNNNNNNNNNNNNNNNNNNNNNNNNNNNNNNNNNNNNNNNNNNNNNNNNNNNNNNNNNNNNNNNNNNNNNNNNNNNNNNNNNNNNNNNNNNNNNNNNNNNNNNNNNNNNNNNNNNNNNNNNNNNNNNNNNNNNNNNNNNNNNNNNNNNNNNNNNNNNNNNNNNNNNNNNNNNNNNNNNNNNNNNNNNNNNNNNNNNNNNNNNNNNNNNNNNNNNNNNNNNNNNNNNNNNNNNNNNNNNNNNNNNNNNNNNNNNNNNNNNNNNNNNNNNNNNNNNNNNNNNNNNNNNNNNNNNNNNNNNNNNNNNNNNNNNNNNNNNNNNNNNNNNNNNNNNNNNNNNNNNNNNNNNNNNNNNNNNNNNNNNNNNNNNNNNNNNNNNNNNNNNNNNNNNNNNNNNNNNNNNNNNNNNNNNNNNNNNNNNNNNNNNNNNNNNNNNNNNNNNNNNNNNNNNNNNNNNNNNNNNNNNNNNNNNNNNNNNNNNNNNNNNNNNNNNNNNNNNNNNNNNNNNNNNNNNNNNNNNNNNNNNNNNNNNNNNNNNNNNNNNNNNNNNNNNNNNNNNNNNNNNNNNNNNNNNNNNNNNNNNNNNNNNNNNNNNNNNNNNNNNNNNNNNNNNNNNNNNNNNNNNNNNNNNNNNNNNNNNNNNNNNNNNNNNNNNNNNNNNNNNNNNNNNNNNNNNNNNNNNNNNNNNNNNNNNNNNNNNNNNNNNNNNNNNNNNNNNNNNNNNNNNNNNNNNNNNNNNNNNNNNNNNNNNNNNNNNNNNNNNNNNNNNNNNNNNNNNNNNNNNNNNNNNNNNNNNNNNNNNNNNNNNNNNNNNNNNNNNNNNNNNNNNNNNNNNNNNNNNNNNNNNNNNNNNNNNNNNNNNNNNNNNNNNNNNNNNNNNNNNNNNNNNNNNNNNNNNNNNNNNNNNNNNNNNNNNNGCAGAAAGUAAAACAAUAUAAACAACUUUUCAUGUGGUUUUUGUAGCCUGCAAAAUUCUAUCUGAGUGGGUGCACCUUUCCCGGCUUUGUUGAGGAAGGUGAUCUAGACUUUGAAUUCUCAUGAUUUGGAGAUGAAGGUCCUCUUCCCAACCUCUGGAAGGCCGAAGGUUUGGUCUUUUCAAUUUUAAACCUCACCCUCUUCUCAGCUGUAUGUUCAUCAUACAGCUUUGUUGAGGAAGGUGAUCUAGACUUUGAAUUCUCAUGAUUUGGAGAUGGAGGAGGUCCUCUUCUCAACCUCUGUAAGGCCGAAGGUUUGGUCUUUUCAAUUUCAAACCUCACCCUCUUCUCAGCUGUAUGUUCAUCAUACAGCUUUGUUGAGGAAGGUGAUCUAGACUUUGCAUUCUCAUGAUUCGGAGAUGGAGGUCCUCUUCUCAACCUCUUUAACACCUGAGGUUUGGUCUCCUCAAUCUGGAAGCUCACCCUUCUCUCAUCUGCUAUGUUCAUCACACAAAGCAAAGGCUUCUGAAAAACCAAGGACUAGAAGACUACGUAAUAUUUGUGCUCUAGUGGAACUUAUUUUAGGGUUCACUUCCACAUCAUUUAAAAGAAGAACAAUACAGUGUUGGUCCUAACUUCAAACCUAGCCCUUUUUUUGCUAGAACAAGAGUCAAAAGGAACAAUUAUUAUAUCUAACAAGUAACAUUUGGUGUUAAGCAGACUUUUAAAAACAAUCGUGCAAAUAUCAUCUACUGGUUUGUAAAUACUAAAUGACCAGAUGUCUAACCUUUACCAGAGGCAUUCAUAACACCUUCCACCUUUAUCCUAUCAGAAUCUUUAUGCUUGCAGUCAUAUCCUGAACGCUUAUCGGAAAGAUUAACUGUGCCAGGUGCCAUCUUUUGUUCUUCAUCUGAACAUUGACCCCCAAAAGGCUGCAUAUAGCAGAACCUAAAAUAGCAAUAAUUGCAAAAGGAUUAAUAAUGCAACAUAAGUAAUCAUGAAAUAUAGAGCAAAUUUUCAUGACAUGAAAACACAGUUACUCAAGCAAAUAUGUAAUGUCUAUCGUUUAGGAUACCAUUGCAUAGGUAAUUUUUCGACGUCAUAGUUAUGAGGUAACAUUCUCCACUUUCUGCACUUGUCACAUUGCACCCAUUCGGAAUCAGGUUUGUAGAUACGAUUAUCUUUAUGCUGGAAAAAGAAACGAAAGUACAGUUCAGCACAUUUCCCUAGUAAACAAAGAGAUAUAUGUAAAAAAUUGGAGUUUGUAGCAUGAAUGACUUCUAACCCCCUAUUUAUCCAUUUAAAACAUCAGUUUAUUCUCCCAUUCAACCAGAGAUACUAGUGUAGGAGGAAAACCAAAGUGAAUCUCAAAUUUCUAACAUGUCUCAUAAGAUGAACAUAACUAUUAACACGAUGUUUACCUAAUUACAAGCAAAUUCUGUUACUCAAAACAAGAAAUAGCAAUGAUAAAUUGAGAAGCAACCCCUCUAUUAUUAAAAUAGAACAAUAGAAUUUUCAGAAGAGCUUUACCAACUUAAGUGAAUCAAAAUUUUUGUCCCAGUAUUCAUCUACUUUUUUCGCAAGCCACUCCUCAAGUAGCGCAUAUGACUCAGAGUCUUGAAAUCCCUGCUUGUUGUUAUGCACCCAAACACGGCCAUCCUUAUCAUCCUAUGCCAGUAAGCACAAAACAAGUACAGGAGUUAAGAUGUAAAGUGUGUUUUUAGAUAAAAUGAGCAAAUAAUUGUUGACAGCAUUCAAGUAAAGACUCUGAAAACAACAUUGAUUCCCAUAAGAUACAGGUAUUAGAAACUUCUUUAGAAGUUCAAUUGGAGAAAUUUAUUCAAAGUAAGUUCCAUGAAAAGUAGGGGAACAUAAGUAUACUGAGGCUCUUGAGAAUAGAAAAUCCUUGGCAGAAUGCAAAGAACAUAAAAUAGCAUUGCAAAAUACAAGGAUCAAAAGACGGAAACUAAUUAAAUCAAGAACAUGUAUUUCCUCAUAUAUGUACUUUUAAUUUUUAGAUUUUCAUGUCAUUAAAUAUAUUUAAUUAUAUUAAAUAGUUAAACUAUCUUUUAAAAUAAAAGUUUAUAUAUGUGAAUUGCAUUAACUCAUCGUAACAAUGCAAGCAAACUAAAAUAUAAUCUAGGAACAUAAGACAAAUCAUUUUUAUUAAAAAAAUAAAAAUAUUAAAAAAAGAGAGAAAGAAGACUUAUCAUUUAGACAGCUUAACAAAGUACAUAAUUCCACUUGCAACACGCAACCAAAUUAAGUAAAACUAUCUAAGCAUGUAAACAUUAUUCCCUCGUAUGUUUGAAAAAUGGUUGGAGUCUAGGAAAAAAAAAAGAUACCAAAGCAACAUAAUGCUUUCAAGGAAAUGUAAUCCAAAAAGACCAUACCAUUAUAUUGGUCACAUCUAUGACACCAAUUAUACCCCGCCCUACAUCUGCACUAUGGAUCAUACCACCAACUCUCUUGUAAGCCUACAAAGGAAAACAGACAAAUAUAAACUCCAGUAUUAUAUAGAGUGAAGCUAAGCAUGCACAGUCAAACAUGAAAAUGUGUUGGAAGAGUAGCCAAACAAAAGAGCAACAGAAAUUUUGAAAUAAAGAGAAAGUUAAAGUAGCAUCUAUUGCACAAAAAUAAGAUAAAAUCUAGCUUUUAGUGGCUUUAUCAUUUUGAAACAAUUCUAUAAUGCUUAAAUUGUCAGGUAAAAGCACAUCAGUUGUUUUAUAUUCUAACAGGCACAUAUGGAAUCCUUGAAUCAUAGGAAUAAUUAAUACCCAUGAAAUCCAAGAUCAUCAGGUUCAUGUAUCUUCCAAUGGUAGUUUAUAAAUUAUAGCAUGCCAAGUUCCCCAUAAUGGUUACCCCAACAAUGUGGACUAACUCACCUCAAUUAAACGACCAUGCCAGUACAAAAAUAUUCCACAGUUUCCCUGCUCCCAUUCUAAUUCACUAUAUCCCAGAGUUAAUUCAACAGGAUUUCCCAAGAUGUCACCAGAUUCCACAACAGUUUUUGUUAGAAAUUUUGCUAGUGGUCGACUUUUAACCUGAGCAAAGAUAAGAGGAACAAUUAGAAUGAAGCUAACAAGGCUUAAAGAUCAUAAAUCAACUUCCAUGGCCCGCUGGCUAGUUAUAAUGUAUAAACAAAGGGUUGUCAUCAUCAAGGUGUGUGGAGAACCUUGAAAUAAUGAGGAAGAUUGAGGUGCACUGGUGCACGGAUCACUUAUAGUGCGCUGCAUUAAUUUUAUAUCUCUAGCCAGACUUCAAAGAUGUUUAGAUGCAUUUGAAAAUUACCUAUUUUCUUUGCAUGAUCUAAAACAUUGCGGAGUACCUCAAAAAAGUUCUCUUAAACUUCAGAAUAAGUCUAUCUAAUUUCAAGAUCAUAUUGAUAAAAAUAAAAGUACUUUAUGAAAUAUUGAAAUUUUAGAUUUCUUAAAGAGAAAAGAGAAAAAAGAAAGUGUAUAAUUUUGUGAUCACUUUAAAUACACUUUUUUUUGUCACUUUUAAAUGUAACAAAUCACAAUUUGAAUCUGACUAAGACUAGAAAUUAAUAUAGUGCAAUAUAAGCAAUUGAUGUUUGCCCCCACAAUCUUUACAUUAGAUUGUAUGGUGCAACACACACCUGGAAAUUUGAAGUGCACUGAAGCAUUCUCCAAAAAGCAUAAUAUUAUAAGCAAGCUGUGCAAGAAUGGAUUACCAGUGUUCCUUGAACAAACAUCUUCAUUCGUGGAACUAAGAAUAUGACUUCUAAAUAAGCUCGUAGCGAAAAAUCUAGUGGAACCUGAAUGCAACAGAACAUAAAACAGGAUACAUAGUUUCAAUUGACAAACUUGAAAAAGCAAAAGUAGUGCCAAACCUUCACACUAACUUGGCCUUGACGAGAACGAAUCCUUCUAGAGCGGACAAAAAUGUCGCCUUGGUGGAAAGAACUCCCACCAUACAGUCCAUCAUGCCAUUCUAGACAAUAACCUGACCCCCAUUCAUCUAGGUUCCAUAUGUAGAUCUGUGUUCCUGUAGCACCACAAAACAAGGCUGCCUUCUCCCCAAUUAGAUACUUGUCAAAUGGUGAAAAGUCCUUAAUAGCUUUCAAAUUGUUUUUUGCCAAAGCUUCAGACUGAACAGCUGUGUCAAUUUCCACCUGUUGUCCUUGCCGACAGUAACUAACUAUUGGAAUCUCAAUAUUCUGCAGUAAAAUCAUUUAAAAGGAUAGCAGUAAGAACUAACAGAAAUUCCAUCAUUAUUUAGAAUAAUAAAUACGUGUCAAUCAGCAUUGGGUUGUUUAAUGACAUCUACCAUCUGGAAGUAAGACAAUUUAUUUUUAAACCCACAACAACAAUUAAUGAUGUAUGAAAUACAACAAAACAAAAUUUCAUAGAACUCUCCAUACAUCUUUGCCUUCAUUCAAAGAUUGUGAAAGAAACGCUAAAGAUCUGGAGUUAGCAGUCUGGGUUAGAACAAGAACAUCCCUCCCAAGCCUCAUUGCUCCUGUCUAAGUAAGAAAACCAUGAAGGAAAAACAAUUAUGAAUUCAGUCAAAGUCAAGCAAAAAGACAAAGUGUAAACUGAAGAGAUCUUAUUUAUCUUAUAAUUUGACACAAAACAAAACAAGGCUGUGAAUUAAAAUCUAUCUUAUAUGGCAUCCUUUUAACCUGGAAUGGGGUUUUGUGAGAGAACAAAGGGUUGUAUAAGAUCAAUUUAUGCUUCUGUCAAUAUCCACAAUGAUGCCAAGGUAUCAGCACACAAAAGUCAAGCAAGCAAAACAAGCCUUAACUAGUUUCAAUUCUUCUUAUAUUUUAUAAAAGAUAUUUAUUCAUAGUAGAGGCUUCGGAGGGAAGAGUGUAGGUUGGUUAACCAAACUUUUUAAUGAGAUCCUAGCGUCUAAGAGGAUGUCAAAUGAGUGGAGGAAAAACACCUUAGUCCCUAUUUACAAGAAAAAAGGUAUAAAAAAUUGUAACAACAACAGAAGGAUCAAGCACAUAGGUCAUACCAUGAAGUUAUGGGAGAGGGUCAUAGAACAUAGGUUGAGAUAGGAGACAUAGGUCUCGAAGAACUAGUUUGGCUUUAUGCCAAAUAGAUCUACCACCUAAGGUUAAGCUAUAUACUUGUUAAGGAGAAUGAUGGAGACUCUAGAAUAACAAAAAGAUCUACACAUGGUGUUUAUUGCUUUGGAAAAAAAGAAGCAUAUGAUAGAGUAUCAAGAGAGGUCCUAUGGAAGGUCUCGGAAAAGAAGAGUAUAAAUGUGACACAGAAAUUUCCUAUUGGUGUAGGAUUGCACUAAGGACCAUCUCUAAGUCCAUAUCUCUUUACAUUGGUUUAGAAGAUACUGAACAUAUCCAGGAACCAGCACCCUAAGCAUGUUUUUGCCGAUGACAUUGUCCUAUGAGAGAAAUAAGGAAAGCUUUAAUUCAAAAGUGAGAGUUGUUGAGAAGAGCCUUAGAGGAGUAUGGUUUGCACAUAAGCCGCAAUAAGACGGAAUAUAUGGAAUGAAAGUUCCGUAGGUGAGAGAAAAAUAAUAAUACAAAAGUGAAAAAUAGAAAAAGCAUCCUAUCGCAAGUAAAGUAUUUUAAGUAUCUUGGGUGUAUCAUACAGCAUAAUGGAGAAAUUGAGCAGGAUGUAAAACAUAGGACGCAAACGAGAUUGUCAAAGUGGCAAAGUGCGUCUGGUUUUAUAUGUGACAAAAAAAAUACACUUGAAACUUAAUGGGAAAUUUUAUCGCCAUUAGGCCGGCUAUGUUUUAUUAAACAUAGAGUGUUGGGCGGCAAAUAAAAUGCAUCCAAGCCGAAAUAUCUCAAGUAUCACCUCGUCCCGGACCAUCGCAGGAAAACUAUAACCAAGAUCUUUUUUAUCUAGCAUUAACUAGAACCACGUGCAUCCAAAGCACCUUUUACUAAGAUCAAUGUAGUUGUAUGUAAACCUAGAGCAAUAGCAUGAUGAACUACGAAUUCUCUGGGUCCUAUUGUUAAAAAUAGAGAAUUACUACUCUCAUUUAUAGCAUUUAACUAACCAGGCAACCAUAUGCUUCACCCUGCAUUGAACGCCGGAGAUUAGAUUGCUGAGAUGGAUGAACGAUCACACACGUAUUCACAAAAUAAAGAACGAAGAUAUAAGAGAGAAAGUUGGAAUAGCACUUAGUGGUUUGGACAUGUGGGAAGAAAAUUGGCAAAGCAUCCAGUUAGGAGGGUAGAUCAGAUGGAAGAUAGACGUUAGCGAAUGGUAGAGGAAAGGCAAAAGAAAUCACACAUGAGGUGGUCAAAAGAGAUCUACGUGUAAAGGGUCUCAUUGUAGACAUGAUACAUGAUAGGACUCAACGGCGUUGUUUAUUCAUGUAGUCAACUCCACCUAGUAGGAUAAGGCUUUGUUAUUAUUUUAUUCACAUUAGAGAAUAAUUGUGUAAAAUGGAGAUAAAGCAUUCUCUUAAACCAGCCACCAAAAAACCAAAAGAUAGUGAUACAAAACAACUAGACUUUGUCACUUUGUUAGGAAGAUACUGGUUGUUGGAGACCCAAGAAAACAAAAGCUUUUCAGCAUGUAACACCCACAAACACUUUGAAGUUCAAAUAUGCAUCAAAGACAAAGGCAAAGGACAGAGUUACCUUAGAUUCAAAGACAAUUAGACAAAUCAACCCAAAGGGAGCAAAACUAAGGUGAGCAGUGGAAAACCCAAAAAAGAGGAAAAGAAAUAGAACAACCUUGAAUCCGAUGCCAAAUCUGCCAAUGUGAUCCUUGACAUCUUUAUCAGGCUGUUUAUGCCCAAACGAUACCAUUUUCACAAUCUCAUCAUGGUUCAUCCCUUGACCAUUAUCAAUAAUUGACAACAUAGGAACAUUCUUCCCAGAUUUCUUCAACUUGAUCAUCUCUACAAAAAUAUCCAACCUGUGACAUCCAAGCAAUAAUAGGUGCAAUUUUAAGAGAAUACCUUGGAUCCUUUACCUCUAAUGUUGAAGAUUUGAUAUAACCAUUUAUUACUAUUUUUUUAUAGGAAAAUUAAAAGAAAAGAAAUCAAUUGAUGACAGAGAAUAUUACAAAAGAGAGGACUAGGUAUUGCCUUGAGAAAGGGAAAAAAUGCUUGUAGAUCCUAAGGAAACACUCGGUUCCUGUCUUGAAAUAGGAAGAAAAAGAACAUAGUGGAAUGGUAGAGAUGCAUCUCCCGGAGGUACAAAAAUUGGCUUAAAAAUUGCCUUCAAGACAUGUCUCUUUGUGUAGCUCCAUUUUGGAAGUAAAGAAAUUAUUUUAAAAAUAGCAUUUCCAAUGCAAACUCAUGUUUCAUGAAAGUAGAUCCAAGAAAGAAAAGUUAGAGUAAAAUAAAGUACUAGUAGAUAGCAAGUUAACUAGCAAAGAGAAACAAGCAAAUAGCCAACAACAAGAAACAAAAAACCUACUUGGAGGCUUUGGCAUCCCUUGAAUUAUCAACAAGCUCAGCUAUCCCACCAAAAAUCCAUCCAGAAUGAGCUUGACCAAGAGUUUUUAGGUAACUUGGGUCUGCUCGUAUGUAAUUUUUCUCGAAGAGUCUAUCCUGAUUCAUAUGAGUUUUACUUUUCAAUUCAUCACAAGUUUCACUCAUAGAAUGGUUGGCACAAUCAUCAGUUUGAGGGAAGUUAGGAUCAGAGGAACAAACUUCUGCACCAUUUGCUGGGCCUCUCAUCAUCAAAGUAUUAGGUCGGCGAUGCUCCUCAGCCAAGUGCGAACCUGCUAAAGAAUUAUCUAGUCCAAAUUACUUCACCAAUUUAAAUGACCAGGAGAAACUAAGAUUCAAAUAUAGGACUCCAUAGUCAUCUUCACCAUUUGGAAAGGAAAAGCAAACUCCCAAAUUAUAGAUAAACCAGAGCUACAAACAACAUGCUACAGCUACACCUCAAAAACAAACAAUAAAAUACAACACAAUGCACAAAAAGAAUAAAUGCAUGUCAAGCCAUCAAUUAAUUAGAUCACAAAUAGAUUGAAAUAAUAAAUGUGUCACUGUGCAUGAGAUAAUUUUAACUGAGGUAUUAACUGAUUACAUUAUAUUAAGAGAAAAAUAAAAUUCGAUGUACCAUAGAAUGCAUACCUGAUUCGCAAUCCCGUGGUCUACUAUCCACAACGCAUGUCUUGCCUAUCUGAUAGGCAACAGUAACUGGGGUAGAUGUCGAGGCUUUAGCAGGGGGCAGAAUGUAGAACUUGUAUGGCUCAAAGUCUGCAAUAGCAAUCUGCCAAAAAUGAGUCUUAGACAUUGCAGAGACAGUGAAAAGUAAUUAACAGAUAGGCUAAAUCACACUCAUUAAUCACAAAAUCCCAUUAUGUGUUGUUUUAUUGUCAUCAUAUGAAUAUUUCAGUUCUUUUUCUUGUUUUGAUACAUAAUCUUUUAGUUUUUAAUAGACACAUAGAAUCAUGUAGCCAAACAUGCAUAUUACUGAAGUUGAGAACAAAAGAUACAGAGACAGGUGUCAGAGAUAAGGCAUAAGAGUUGCAUCUCUUCCUUGGUCCCCUUCUGCUCCCGCUCUAGUGGAUACAAAAUUAGGCAAACUUUGCCCUAGAACAGAGACAUUUUGUAUUUUAUGCCUAGACCUUCCUCAAAUAGAUUUAUGCCUCCCAGUGUUUAUAUUUUUUUCUUGAGACAGUUAUAUCAAACGAGGCCUAAUUGGCGUUAAACCGUGCUAAAAAUUAUAGCAACCAUUAUAAAUAAAGGAUUUCAUCAUAAUCACAAACAUGUGCAUGCCAGAGCUGAAAUAAUAAUUAAUAGAAGUAGCACACCAUGUCAUACUUGUGCAGGAAAUCCAAGAACCUUCUCCACUCGUGCUUUUCAUGCGAAUUUUCUGGGGCAGGGUACAAUGAAAACUGGGGCAACAUGGAAAUUCCUGAUACUUUCAUAUGUCUCAUUGUAUGUAUGUUCAACUCAUUGGACCUGCAAAAACUUUUUUCACGUCAGCAAAUGAAUCACACACAAUAAAUGCUAAAGAAUAUAGAAAACUAAAGUAUGCUUCAGUAAGAAGAAUAAUUCAUACAGUUCAGUAGGCGGGUUUGUGGACUUGACACUGCAUAUAGUUUUCCGAUCCUUUUUAAGGACAAAACUCAUCUGCAUAAAGAGGAGUCAAGAAAAGAGAAACAUUAACAGCGCAUUACGUGCUAUUAUAUCAAAAACCAAAGAGCGAUGAAAGUUCAGAAAGCUAACUUGUGAAUGCUUUACUCUUGUUACAAAAAAAAAAUUAAAAAUUAAAAAAAAAUCUCAUUUGAAAGAGAAAAUGGCUCAUAAACAGAACGAAGCUCGAAAGCUUUAAAACUUGCAGUUUCAAGAAGAUAACAGCAGCAUGCAGCAAUUGCAAUGCAGGUUAGGAAAACAGCAAAAGUCAAAAGUGCAAUUAAAGAAAGAGAGAAGGAAGAAUGUGACUUACUAUUAUUAUGAUAAAGGUGAUGAAAGGGAAGGAAAACCCUAGGUAGCAAUGGAGAAUGGAGAGGGAAGAGAGGAAGUAAAACGGCGUCGUUUGCGACAGAAGGGAGAAAGAGUGAGGAGGACUGAGGGAAGAAGAACGGGGAAGAGAAAUGAAAAGACGUUUACCCGCUCAGAGCCGAUAUAUUCUAUUAAGACGUUAGACACACUGACUGAAAAUGAAAAUGGAUUCUCUCAAAUUAUUUUUUUUUACGAAAAUUGUUUNNNNNNNNNNNNNNNNNNNNNNNNNNNNNNNNNNNNNNNNNNNNNNNNNNNAGCCACUCCUAAGGCCUUAAUUACCGAUCUGCCCCUCCACUUCAUUCUAUACUUUUUUGUAGGGGUGUAAGUUAUCGAAUCGGACUAAAAAUUACCGCAAAAUCGAACCAAAAAUUACAACAACCGAUUAAAAAUCGAAAAAAUGGUUUUUUUUUUUUGUUUUUUUUCUGACAAAACCGAUCGGUUCGGUUCGAUUUUCAGUUGACUCGAUAGAAAUCGAACCGAACCAAACCGAACCGAAGAUAUACAUACAUCUCAAUGUUUUAACCAUUUUAACCUUUAACCUAACAACAAAGAUUUUCAAUCCCUAACCAUUUCAAUGUUUUAUUUUUAUUAUUUCAGUUUAUUGACUAUUUUGAACCUCUAAUUAUUGUGAUUCAUAUUCUUCUCAUUAGGAAUUAAAAACCAAAAAACCGACCGAACCAAACUACUGUUGGUUCGGUUUGGUUCGGUUCAAUUGUUGCAAAAACAGCCAACCGAACGAUUGUGUGUCUGUAGGAACCGAACAUAUUAAUUCGGUUGGUUUUUUAUCAAAAACCGAACCAAAUCGAACCGAUAACACCCCUACUUUCUUGCCUAAACUACUCAACUCAAAUGCACUAUAAUUUUUAAAACUUACAAACAAUAAAUAAUUGCUAACAAAUUAAUAAAAAUACAACAAAAUAACCAAAAACAUUAUUUUUAUAAGGGACGAACCAUUUUUAUAUUUAGAAAAUAAUUGGUGUAUUUGAUCUAAAUUUUUGUAAAUAUAUUUUCAAUAACAAUUGAAAAGUAAAUAAAAUUUGAUAUCUAAAUUUAUUUUGAAAAAAUAUUUAUCUAAUAUCAAAUUAUUUUUGUCACGAUUUUAAAAUAUUUUAUACUUAUUUAUCGUUUGUAUCUUUUGAAAUUAUUUUUAUCAAUGAUAUAAAUUUUUACGGUACAACAUUUAUAGUUUAUCCAACUUUUUUUAUAAUUUUUUUGAUAUAUACUCAAACAACACUACAACAGACCAAAAAAUUUACAAUUAGUUUUAUUUAUAUUUUUAUUUUUAGUAUUUUUUUUUUAAUUUUUAAAAAAUAUUUAAAAUGAUAAAAUUUUAUUUUCCUUUUUUAUCUCUUAAUUUUUUGGGUGUCUAGUCCAGCAUUGUUGACAUACUUAUUUUGGGAAAAAAAAAUAAUUGAUCUAUUUUUUAAUGGUCAAUACUCAAUAGAUCACAAACUCAAAUUUCUUAGUCCUAAAAUGGAGCACUUAUUUCUCUAAUAAAUUGUGUUGCUAAUUUUAUAUAAGGAAAUUUACGUUCUAAAAGAUAAAUAAUUAGAAUUUGUAUGGUUUGAAAAAAAAAAUGAAAAUUCAAGUGGAGUCGACUUCACGUGAAAUUGAUAGUUGAGAGCCGUUAAAUGAAAAUUUAAUCAAAUCAGUCAAAUCAUCUAACGGUUCUCAGUUAUCAACUUCACGUGAAGUCGACUACUUUUGAGUUUCCACCUCACAAAAAAUGUCUUUCUUUUUUACUUUUAUUUCUUAUUUUUUUUAAUUCACAAAAUCUUAAAACAUAAAAUAUUAAGAAUAAAAGUUUACAUAUAUAUAGUUAUUAGUUUCAUUAAAUAUUGCACAUAUUCCAUAAAUUCUUGCACAUAGUAUAUAAAAUUAUUAAUAUAGUAUGAUUUUUUUGUCUAUAACACAAAUUUAUUGAUAUAGCACAUAAUCUUUUUUAAAUAUGUAGUCUUUUAAAAUUUUUGUGUUGUACAUCAAAAUUUAUGUAUUAUGUGUAUAUGAAUUAAUAUUUUAACAUGUAAUUUUUUAAAAAAAAAAUUGUUGUGCACCAAAAUUUUAAUAUUGCGUGUAUUGAGUUAAUGUUUUAGAUAUGUGAUACUUCUAAAAUUUCUCUGUUAUGCAUUUGUGAGUCAAGAGACGUGGUUCUUCGAAAAUUUAUGUGCUUAGUAACUUUGCUUAAUAUAUAUAGAAGGAUGAUAAUGAAGAUAAUGAAUUGAUGAUUAUGAUGACCACGAUAGUAACAAAGGAGGAUGACAAAAAAAAAAAUCAAACCAGAGCAAAAGAAAAAGAAGACAAUAACGAUAUUAAAAAAGAAAAAGCAGGAUGUGCGUGCAUAAUAAGCUUAACUUGGUUAAACUUAAUUUAAAAAAUACUUGACCGUCUAAUAUUUCUAAUAAUCAUAUUUGUUUUUAUAUAUUUAUAUUAACUUUAAAUGGAUAAGUAAUCUCGAUUUAUUUUAUUAUUUAAAUAUGUGUAUAUUAUCUAGAAACAAAAUAAAAGUACAUUUAGUUUGUAUUUUUAUUUUUUAUUUUUAAAUUUCAUACAAAAAUAUAUUUUUUUAUUUUUAUUUUUUGUAUUUUUUUCAUAAAAUUUUAAAAAUAAAAAAUACUAAAAAUAAAGAUAAACUAAAUGUGUCCUAAAUUUUCCUAAAAUUUACAUAUCAUUCAAGGAUCCCACUAUUAAACCAAUCUUGAUGAUGUUGAUCAUUACUUAGUCGGGAAUAACAAACAGCUAUUUAAAUUUCUCUCGUUCAAAGAAAAUGUUUACACGAAAAUUAAAAUGCAUUAAUUGGCGGCGAAUCCGGCGAUAUUACUCCUGAGUGAAUAAAUUCAAAUAGCUAAUUGCUUUGUGAUUCAAAUUUAUAACAUAAAUACAUAAUAAUUCUAUUUUUUAAUAUCUAACUUAAUAGGUAAUGUCUAGUUAUGACCUUUUAGGCAGUUGUUGCAUGCAAUACCAUUGUAAAAAAUGAGUGAAUACUUAAUCAGAUUCCUGUUAAUUUUUUUUGAAGGAUUACAAAGUUUUUUUUUUUAAAAAAUACUUUUUUGUUUUUUAAUAUUUAAUUUUGUGAGACGUUAAUUACUAAUAUAUUCUCAAUUUAAUUUUUAUAAGUAAAAAUAAUUUAAAAAUUACUAAUAUUUUUUAAUUUUAUACAGUAAAUUUAACUAAUAUAUUUAAAAAAAAGUAAUAAAAAAUUAAAAAUAAAAACUAAACGGCCUUGAUAAUUAUCCUAAAAAAAUAAUGAGACUCCCAACAAAAACAUUUUGUUAAUCAUAGUUAGUUCUUAAUGGAUAAAUCAACAUUUUAACAUGCCAUGUAAGAUUAUUUCGUUAAUACUAAUAGAAAAUAUUGACAAAUGGACUAAUUAAUCUCAUAAAAAUAAAAAUUAGGGACUGAAAAAUAUAUUUAUUUUGUUGAUGACCUUAUUGUCUUUCGAGAUAAUUGUCAGUGGUCAUUUAGGAUUUUUUUUCCUCGUAAAAAAUUCAUGGGCACAUCACUUCAUUUAAAAUGAAACAUAGCUAAUAUUACCCAUUUAUUUUUACAAUAAAACUCUACGUCCAAGUCAUUUAACCAACUAAGUCUAACUAAGUUCCUAUAACCUAAUUCAGCUUUAUGCGCCACUAUCUCUAACAAUUUUUUUUUUUUUUUCCAAAUUUUUCAGCAUUUUCUAUGUUCUCUGUAUUCUCUUUCUUCUCUGCGUUCUCUUCCUUCUCUGCGUUUUCUUCAUUCUCUUCGUUCACGAUCAAUGCUCUUUGAUCUGAUUUGAAGAUUUUGGAUCAAAUUUGUUUGAAUUGUUUUUUCCAUAAGUCUAUUUAUGUUACGUUUAAUAGCAGUUUCGGUGCAUUUUGAAACACAAUUUGGUGUAAUAUAGAUUUUUUCGGUAUCGUACUUAUAAAUCUUCGGUGUCUUUUAUGCCCGUUUGUUCCAAAAAUUUGGAUGACUUUUAACACAUUUAAAGAAUAAGCUGCUGUUGCUUUUUCUUCACCUUUUCCUUUUUUUUUCUUUUUUUUUUUCAUUAUCGUUAUUAUUAUCAUCGUUGUCUCAUUUUUAUAUGUAUAAGUAACAAUUCAAAUCCAGAAUAUACCGAAAUUUUAUAAUCAUGACGACACAUAAGCAAACUUAGUUUAAAACAAGUUCAGACUACAAAUACAUCUUAUUUAAAUCCAGAAUGCACUACAAUUUUUUAAUGAUAACGACACACAAAUAAACUCGGUUUAGACUAAAAGUGCACCUUAUUUAAAUCCAUAAUAUACCGAUAUUCAAAUUCAGAAUGUGAAGGAUUACCAUGGGUUCACAACAGGCAGUGGAAGAAAAGAAAGUAAUUCUAAAUAUCUAUUUUAUGCUUAAACUUUUUUCGAAUAAUAUAUAUAGAUCAUAUCUAAAUUAAAUACCUUUGAACGUUCCAGUAAAAACUUUAUUCUUCAAUUGUACGAAGACUCUAUAUAUGCGUAUCGACACCAAAACCAAUUUUGCUGUCAACUCCUUAACUAAUGGACAUCUGAUCUAAAUUGAGAAACCUCUUGCAACUCUUUGCACGCCAUAAAAUUUUGCUCCAAGAAUUAAACUCACAUACGUUUAUGUGUGUAGAGGUAAAGGAAUAAAACUCAUGUUUUUCCUCUACUCUUGGCAUACAUAUAUAUAGUAUGAGAUUUAUUACUGAUUUUAAAUUUGAAACUCAAUUCAAAUUUUCAUAUCUUGUUAUUUUAAAUUUGAAUCUUUCAAAUUUAUGAAUUAUAUCAUAACUCAAUUUGAAACAUAAUCAGUUAAGAUCUCAGCUAAAUUUAGAAAUAGAAUAACUAAUUAUUUUCAAAUAUUAUUCUCAAUUAUUAUACUAUUAUUAUAUUCUUGGUGCUAGUAAAUAAUACAAUAAUAUUCUAUUUGAAUUAAUAUAAUUAUUUAUUUGAUGAAAUCAAAAUAAUAAUUAAAUAAUUCUACAGCAAAGAUUAAAAUACUCGUUAGUGUGUAACCCCAUAGGUUCAAUACUAAGCGGGUAGUAAAUUAGUCAUACUAAAUUUACGUUGGCGUCUAGCAACACUCUUCAACGACCCGAUAGUAUAAAGUAAUAUAUUUUUACUAAAAACUUGAGAAGAACAAAGUAUAAUUCCUUCCAUCUUUCCAACUCUUUGUUAACCCUUAGAGUAUGGUUUAAUUGUUAAAUUCUAACUUGUUACCAUUAUUAUAAUGGACUGUAAAUGACCUAAAAAACUUAUUUCUUCAUUCAUUCAAUCUCUUUAGCCAAGGUUUUAUUCAUCUCAGUCAUUCUAAUCAUAGAGGCUCAAAUUCUUUACCGAGAGUUGACCGAUUUCUUAUUAAUUAAUUAUUAAUUAUACAAUUAUUUAAAUCAUACCCAAUAUCAUUCAACUAGCAUCCUAGGGUAUUAGUUGUCCGAAAUCAAAGUAUAAUAAAUACAUUGUUAAUUACUGUGAUAGUCGCAGGUCAAAGGAAACUCUAUUACUAUGUUCAUCUUAAGAAUAUCCUAUUGACAAAUAUACGGUAAUUAUAACCAUUAGGAAUUCUCAAAGUGAGUCAGUUCAAUAACCAUAUCUCUAUAUGCACCAUCUAUAUAUAUAAUUUAAUAAAUGAAAUCUAUUAAUCUUCAUCCAAGAAGACCAUUAUAUGCCAAUGAGUAAUAGCUCAAAUGACAUAGUCUCCCCAUACUCAAUUAAGAGGUUGCGGGUUCGAGUCUCCUAUCUUUGGUAAAAAUCUUUCCGAAUUAUUAAUGUCCCUUUUAAUAAUCAUAUGACCAAGAAUAAUUUAGAUUAAAUUAUAAAAGAUUUAUCUCUCAAUAUUAUAAUCACUGUCACAAUAAUAAAUCUAUGAAUUUAGUCAAAGACCUUAUUAUAUUAACAUGUUAAUAUAAUAACAAUAACAAAUUAUUUGAUACAUGAUUGAUUGGAUUGUGGUCAUAUUAUUUAUUCCAAAACAGAAUGCACUGAAAUUACUUAAUGACGUACAAACAAACUCAAUUUAAAAUAAGUACAAACCGAAAGUUUACUUUAUUUAAAUCUAGAAUGCACCAAAAUUAUUUAAUGAUAAUUCAAAAUUCUUCUUUUUCUUAUUUUCUUGUUCAUUCUUUUUUUUUUUUUUUACUUUUUUAUUUACUAUCUUAACAAGAAAAAAUCAAACAAAGAAAAUAAAAAAAAAAAGAGGAGGAGGAAAAGAAAAAAAUGGAACAACAACAGUAAAAGAACGGUAAUGAGAAAGAAACACGCGAAAAAAGAAAAAGAAACACAACAAAAGAAAGAACAUGAGGAAAAAAGGAGAAGAAAAAGAAAGAGAAACACAAAGAAAAAAAAAUAAAAAAAGGAGAAAGAGAGGAACCGAAUUUGUAUUUACACUUCACUAAUGAGAUUUAUUUUUGUCAGAUUUAGACCAAUUUAAUUAGACUUUAUUGCAAAAAAAACUUAAAUGUAUAACAUAAUUGUUAUUUUUAAUUGACUUUAGUUACCAAUAUAUCUGAUACAAAUCGAUUUGAGUUAGAAUAGUUUAAUAUAAAAGAUAAUAAAUUGUUUUAAUGGAAACUGAUUUACCUAGCAAUACAAAAAUAUAAAUCAAGACAUUUAGCAAGGGGAGAAGAUAACAUAAACCAACCUACAUCAUAUUGAUUUAAUGCCAGUGGCCACUCCUUGAAUAGAUCAAUUUAACCCAAAAUAAUUAAGAGCUCCCAAUCACAUCAUUUUUCCGCUUUCCAUCACACUAAUUUUUUUUAUUGGACUUUCUGCCUUCUCUGUUAAAAAACAUACAAUUAAAAUGUAGUGUGACGAGAAGUUUCUCCUAAAUCAUUUUAAGUUAAAUUGAUUUAACUAAAAGAAUGUCUCUCACGCUGAAUCGAGAUAAUGUUGACCAAUUUAUGUCAACCAUUUUUUCUUGCUAAAUCGUCCAAGAAGAGGGCCGGGAGAUUUAUAUAGUUCUAUAGUGCUAAGGUAACUUGAUUUUGGUUAAAAUGAUUUAUAUAUUAUGUUCUAUAUUAAAUUAUUUUAAUUUAGAUCGAUUUGUAUAAAAGAUGUUGAUAACCAAAAUCAAUUCAAAACAAAAGCGUAAUAUUAUUAUGUUUCAUUUUAAAUGAGUGAUUUACCAAAGUUUAUAGGUUGUAUUAAAUAAACAAUCUCUUCUAUAUAGUAAUGUUCAAUUGCCCAUGUGGUCUUUGGUGUGUAUGUUUAGAUUUAGGUGCCACCACCAUUGGCUUAAAUAUAGUUAUUGACCACUAUUUUUUUUAUUAUUACUGUCGAUGUUGUAAACAUACAUCAAAUAUUAAUCAUCCGGAGCGUUUUAAAAUGUCAUAAAAUAUGGAAUAUUUCCAAAAUAUGUUCUGAUUUGUUAAGAACAAAUUAAAUCAUUUCAAAGAUAAGUUAUUAGCAAUAUCUUUGUUUGCAGUUAUUUUCUUUAGUAUAUACAUAUUUAUUAUCUAUCUGGGUAGUUAGAAAACUUUGACAUUAUAUUUUGUUUCCCCUCUAGUGCAUAAUACAUGCAUGCAACUAAUCACUAGUCGUAUUACGCUAUAUUCAUGUUGACUCCGAUUCAAUUCAUGUUGAUUUCAUUUCAACUAAGAAAAUGCAAAAAUAGUGUGAGAUUGACUAACAGCAUAAUAAGAAAAACAUGGAAGGACCACAACGAACAUGUUUUUGUAUCAUUAUUUGGCAUGUUUUACCCUCCUUUAUCUUAUUGAAAAUAUGUGCUGUAACAUUGCUUGUUAGGUAUCUGUUCCGUUUUUUAUCCGUUUGUUUCAAAUGUAUUUUGAUACAUGCAGUUUAUUUUCAUUUUCAUGUGAAGUUGUUAAUUAAAAAUUGUUAGAUAAUUUAUUAUGUUUGACUAAAUUAUUAUCUAAUGGCUCUCGAUUAUCAAUUUUAUAUAAAGACAAACUGCAUGAGUAUUCAUCAUUUUGGUAAUUAUUUUCGUUGAAAUUAAUAAAAUUUAGUUUACAAUUCGCAAAAUUUUCAAUUAGGUCCUUAUACUUUUUUUUUUCUUUUAAUUGAGUUUUUGCACCAAAUUUUUUUUAAUUGGGUUCCUACACUUUUUUUCUUUUUAUUUAGAUCUCUGUACCAAUUUUUUUUUAGUUGGGUCCCUAUAAAAUUAAGCCAAUUACUACUAAGAAGGAUUUAAUUGAAAAAAAAAUUGAUACAGAGACCCAAUUAAAAAAUAUAUAUAUAUAUAGAGAUCUAAUUGAAAAUUUUACGAAACUAUAGAGACUAAUUAAACCUUACUUGUUUAUAUUAUAUAUGUAUUGGGGGGAAUAUGAGCAUACUCCUCCACUCUCCCCCCUUAGCAAACUAGCAAAGCUCCUAACGGAGACAGCCUGCUCAUGCUGCCUACGAAAUUAUUAUAUAAUGAACAUAGACAUAAUUGCUUCUACCAUCACUUAAAUUAAGAAUAUAUUUUUUUUAUUUAAAUAUUAGAAAAGUCCAAGNNNNNNNNNNNNNNNNNNNNNNNNNNNNNNNNNNNNNNNNNNNNNNNNNNNNNNNNNNNNNNNNNNNNNNNNNNNNNNNNNNNNNNNNNNNNNNNNNNNNNNNNNNNNNNNNNNNNNNNNNNNNNGAUUAAUUAAUUAAUUGAAUAAUAGUAAUAUAAUUAAAAAAAAGAUUGUUAAAUUGUAGUUUGAGAGUAUGAGAGAGAGUGAGGGGGAAAACACAGAGCGGGGUAGAGUAUGGGAACGACAUCAACAUUCGAAAGAUCCUAGGGUUUGGAACAGAAAAAAAUACUAUCGACUGAAAAAUGAGUUUUUCUCCAUUUUUGUUGACAAUUUAUCGGGAGAUAUCUCAAAGAAGGAAUUAUUCCACCUUUUCACCUGGACAGGAAGAAUCAAUGACAUUUAUCUUUCUCGUAAAGAGAAAAAAGGUAUGAUAUAUCUUUUUGCAUUUAUACUAUACACGACCAAAGGAGGGGCACUGAAGGCGAUAACGGAAAUGGAUCGCAUGCGAUUACGUGGGAAGAUAAUCUCAGUUCAAGAAGCGAAGUAUAGAAGGCCCGUAAAGGAGAAGGUAAGAAGAAUUCAGGCCGGAAGUGGCGAAGACUGCGGUUGAGAAUAGGCGGACUCAACGUGGGGACAAUUUGCAUAUGGAUACAGGUGAAGGAGUGACGAUGAAGAAUACGUCGAAUAGGCACCCAAACGGUAAUGGCUGGACGAAGAAGGUUGAAGUAACAAUUGCAGAAGAGAAUAUGGGUUGGCUAGCAAGAAGUUUAGUCGGGGGGACGACCAUGGCCAUAGAUCUCAAUGCACUGAAAAAGGCAGUUAGCAAGAAUGUGCCUCAGGUUGUUCAAGUCCGGGAAUUAGGAGCGUAUAAGGCACUAUUAACUUUUGACACUGUGGAGCAUGCGGAGGAGUAUUAUACAUUCAAAAUGAAUAGUCUUCUGCAAUUUUUUCAUAGUGUUUGGAGAUGGAAAGAAUCGGAACGAAGUGAGACUAGAAGAGUAUGGUUAGAAUGUUUUGGAGUGCCACUGCAUGUGUGGUCCGCAGAAACGUUCAAAAGGAUAGGUGGGCAAUGGGGGGAAGUGGUACGAUAUGAUGAGGUGACGGAAUCAGAAUUAUCAUUCAGUUCCGGUAGAGUCCAAAUCGAUACUUGUAUAUUUGAUGUUAUUAGUGAUUGGAUUCACAUAACGGUCGGUACUAGUGGAUUCGAUGUUUUUGUGAAGGAGGUGGGACGUGAAAAAUGUGGAGCAGAGAGCAUGAUGGUAGGUAAAAAUAUGCAAACGAUGAAGACCAACUAUGAUGUAAGUGGCAAAGGAAUAAAGACGCUGACACCGAUGUUUGAUCCGGCGGCUGAAUUGGUAGAAGGAGGGGCGAGGAAUCACGGAGAAGAUAAGGAUAGAACAGCAAUUCAUGAUUUAUUUUUGAAUGACUGGAAUCAGGCACAUUUACUACCAAUCAAGGAAAAAAGGUUACCUAAUUUAAAUGCAUUAAUGGAUUUUGAAAGAGGCAAAGAUUAUGGGAAUUCUAAUUUUUUAAUGGACGGGGACUCGGACAGAACCGUAGCACAAGGAAAUUUUAUUUCAAAAGGAAGGAUAAAUGUGGGUGUAAUAAAGGCUGGAAGAAGAAUUUUAGUGGGCCACGGUAGUAAUAAGGAGUGUGAAAAUAAAAGCAUGAUGGGUGACAUGGGUAAUGUGGGCCUUAAUGGUUGUGGGCUCACAAAUGAUUAUGUCCAACAUAAUUCUUUAGAUGAAGGAAUGAGCCUUGAACGGUGGGCUCAAGCUGGAGCGGGUCGGGAAAAAGCAAUGUGGGUUGAAGUGGAACAAGCAGAUGAAGAAAGAAGCGCCGAUAGGUUCUCUUCAAGAAGUAGCUCCUGCGCGCCGAUAGAACAUGAGCAGCCACCGGCGAGACCCGUACGAGAAGAGCCAGGUAACGUGCCGCACCAAAAUAACGUUGACCCAAGGAGAGGGGACGCGGGGCAGAUGGUGUCGGGGCCAAGCGAUAUACCACUUGCGCAGCCGAAGAGGGAUGGUACACGAACAGCGCCUGGGAGCGGGAUCUGCGACAGGGUUGGGGACAAAAAAAAUGGAGCUGUUCAAAUUACAGUGGCGGCAAGCUGUGAAGUAGAGACGCACAAUGAAGAAGAAGGACAUGGUGGAACCAAUGAGCAGGCUAAUCAGAGCAAUAAAAGGACUUCUGGUCCAGUAGAGGCAAGAGGCGAAGAAGAUGAGAUUAUCCCAGAGACAGUGACCGUUUGCACGAAACAGUGUGCGCAUGGUGAAGAGGGAGACAAUGAAGACGGGGAACACGACUCUACCUCAGGGUACCAGAACGUAAUGUCUGAUGAAGAACUGAAGCGGGAGGAACAGUUGAAGGAAAAUAAGAAAACUUGGGAAUUAGCAGUGGAAUCAGGUGCAGUAUUACAUGAUGAAGAUGAGGAUAUUAUGGCAAUACUUCAAGCUCAGAAUGAAGAAAUUGCAAACAGGAGGAGACUGGCGAAACAGAAAGAGAAAGCAAGAAGAAGCAGACCUAAGAACUGCAAAAAGGUGUGUAAAAAUAUUUUUAAAUGAUUUAUAGUUGCUGGAAUAUUAGGGGGUUAGGAGAUGAUGGAAAGCUGAGAAUGAUUAAAGAUUUGAAAAAGAGUUGUAGAUUAAACAUGUUAGGGUUGAUUGAAACUAAGCGUGAAGUUUUGACUAAAUUUGAUGUCAUACGCAUUUGGAAAAAUGACAUGAUGGGUUGGGAAUAUGUGGAACCUGUAGGUGUUUCUGGAGGUUUAUUGCUUAUAUGGGAUGAUAUGUUGUUUAAAAUGAAUAACUGCUAUAAAGGGGAACGUUGGCUGUGUGUAGAGGGGAUGGUGACUAAUAAUAAUCUUAGAUGUGCAUUCUGUUUGGUGUACGGAGCACAUGAGAGAGCAAAAAGUUGGUGAUGUGGGAGGAGUUGAGUUAUAUUGUGGGAUUGUGUCAGGUGCCUUUUUGCUUCAUGGGGGACUUCAAUGAAAUAAUGCAAGUGGAGGAAAGAAAGGGAGCAAGUAGAUUACCGGGAUCUGCGGAAGAAUUUAAGUUUUGGGUACAGGAUAUGCAGCUGUUAGACCUCCCUCUUAAUGAUCGUAAAUACACAUGGUUCAAGGGCCGACAGUGUAGUCGCAUUGACAGGGUCCUGGUUAGUGUGGAUUGGAUUGAAGUGCUUCCGGAUACUCGCUUGAGAGGUGGACCUCGUGUGCUAUCAGACCUUUGCUGUGAGUUUACUUGGCAAGUGUGGUGUGCUUGGUUGACUUACUUUGAUAGAGUGUGGGUUGUUAUGGGGACGAUCAAGGAACUGUUCGAGAGUUGGAUAGGAGAACCUAUCAGAAAAGUUGAGCAGAAUAAGCGGUUGGUUGGUUUUUGUGCAGUAAUUUGGAACAUCUGGAUGGAACGAAAUGCAAGAAUAUUUAAGAAUGAAGAAUGUAGCAUUGAGGACAUCAAAAGGAGGUCAGUGUUGAGCUUCAAAGAGUGGUCUGGUGCCGAUCCAUGUGGUUGUUGAUGGCAAUGCCGGAAAUGACAAUGAAUUAAUCGCAUUAGUAUGUCCUGUUUUUCUUUUUCUUUGUGUCAUGACCUAUUUUGGUGCUCCACUUUUGUGUGUUGAGCUUUUCUUUGUUCAAAAAAAAAAAUUAAAAAAUUAACGUUUAACAAUUCAAAAGAUAAUUAUCAUAAUUGUAAUAAUGACAUACUAAUAUAACUAAAGAAAUUUAAGAUUUAUCAUUAUUCAUAAUUUUUUUUAUAAACGCAAAGCUUCAGUUUUUAUUGUGUUCUCCCCAUCUCCCGUGCAUUGAAAUAAUAAUAUAACACGCCAGGUAAUUAUAAAUAUUAUUCUAUAUUAACAUAUAAUGCCAUAGAUAAUAUAUAUAUAAUGGUAUGUAUGUAGUUAUAUAAAAAAAACUAAAAAGUACAUUAAAAAAUGUUACUUUCUAAUAAAUAUUAUUACGUUUGGCUAUUUUAUUUUAAUUUUGAUAUCUGAAUACCAAUACCUAUGAUGCACGGACACGAAUACGGACACAGACACGACACAACACGAUAUGGAACACGCUAAUGCGCACAUUUUAAAAUUUUAUAAGACACGGGGACACGCAUACAUAUAAAAUAUAAAGUAUUUUUUAAGAUAAAUCGUAAUGACAUUUUAAUAUUUUAUUGAUAUUAAAAUAUAAAUUAAUUUUUUAAUAAUUUUUAAUGUCUUAUUUUAAAUAUAUCAAGUAUUUAAAAUAUUUUUUUAUUUUAAUAAAUAAUAAUAUAUACUAUAUAUAAAUUUAUUUCAAAAAUAUAUGUUAAGAAUAAGAUUGGACACGCUAAUACGUGAUGGUAUUUAGGUGUGUCCAAGUGUGUCCAGAGAAAAAUUUUUUAUUUUUUAAUAAAACACGAUUGGACACAGCAGACACGCGUGUCAGACGAGUGUAGUGUCAGUGUCCGACACACGGACACAACAAUUCAGCAAAAUGUCCGUGCUUCAUAGACCAAUACGCUAACACUGGUUACAUUUGCUAGUAUCAGGAUAUGAAUAUGAAUAAUUUGCUAGCAUCAGGAUAUGAAUAUAAAUAAGUAAAAUAAGAUUACUAGCACUAUACUGUUACCGGUUCCAAAAGUGUCAAAUAUUGAGAAAAAAAAAAACAUAAAGUGACAAAGAGUUAAAGAACCAAAUGUAUAGACAAAUACACCGGCCACUAAAUUAUCAUAAUAACAACUGAUUUUAGUAACUAACUAAAUUACUUUCACAAACACAUGACUUGCUUUUCAACAGUUCAACUUGCAAGUCCAGUUGCUACCUUGCAGUCUCAAGUUGCAACUUUUUCGAUGAGUCACUAUUUUUAGAAGGAAGAGAGGCAGAAGAGAUGUGAAGAUAAUUUACUUUGGUUAGGCCAAAUUUUGCUUGAAUUGGGCUAAUGAUGGUGACUAAUCCAAUAUACUCCCGCAAAUUGGAAGAUAGUAUAUGUCAAAAAAUUUUAAUUUGGAUAAAUUGAUAUGAAAAAGUUGAGUAGAAAGAGGCUUGGUGACGAUGUUUGCAAAUUGACUGGAAGAAAGAACGGAAAAAAGCUUUAUUAUCUCAGUCUUUCAUGAUACUAAGGAAUCUCCCAAAAAGAAACAAUAGUCAAUUAAAGACCAACAUGUAUUUGGAAAAUUCACCCAACUUGAAUUGCUAAACCCACAAAUUUGGAUAUUAGAACUCCAAGGAACGAACAACCCUGCCAAGAUUAGUCUUAAGAUAGAUAUCAAAGAACACAUACAAUUGCUUUAUAAUGAGCUUGAGUCAAUGGAGCUAAAAAUUGACUAAACUGCUGACUUGCAUAAGUAAUAUCUGGACGAGCAGUGGUCAAAUAAACCGAUCUAGAAGAAGAGGAAUGUCAUCUUGAAAAAGUUUAAUUGUACUAUUUAUUGGAACACUAAUGGACUUAGCUCCCAAAAGACCAGAAUUAGUCAAAAGGUCUCAGUAAUAUUUAAUGAUGUGAAAGCGCUAUCUCUUUACUAGAAUGAGAUCCUAAGGUCCGCUUAAUGGCUGUAAUCUCAGAAAUGAAAUUUUCAAUAACCACAGUAUCAUCAACAUAUAUUAACAAGAUUCACACUUCUCCCAUAAUCUUAAUGAAUAGACUAUAAUCGAAAACAGUUUGUUGAUACCCACGAGAAAGAAAAAGAUUGGAGAGUUUUUCAUAUCAUAUUUGAUUAGAUUGGCGCAAUCCAUACAAAUAUUUGUGGAGAUGACAACAUUGAUUUGGAAGAUUGGAAGAGAGGCUCGGUAGCAGCUCCAUAUAUAUCACUUCGAUAAAUUGCCACAAAAGAAUGCAUUAUUGACGUCAAACUGCUAAAUUGACCAUUGUUUAAUAGAAUUCAAAGCUAUAAUUCUAACAAAUUUGUAAAUUUCAUAACAGAUUUCGAUCCUAACAGAAUGAUUUUAUAUGAUGAGUCACUACAUUUAGAAAAAAGAGAGGUGAAGAGAUGUGAAAAUGAUCUAAUAUGGUUAGGCACGAUUUUGCUUAAGUUUAGCCAAGUAUAAUGUCUAGUCCAAUAAAUAGAAAGAAUGUGAAAAAAAAAAGAGUAAAUAACUAUUUAUGACUAUAAAAAAUUUGGAUGCUGACAAAAUUGACCAUAAAAAAUUGAAAACUAAAGGUAUACCAUACAAAAUAAAUUUUGUUCGACAAAAAUAGCUAAUUAUUAAUCUUUUCAUAAUUUCGUAAAUAUCUUCUUCUUUUCUCUUCCUUUCUCCUCCUUCUUAAUUUCGAUCGCUACAUGUUAUUCGGAACGAGAUGGUUUAUGAGGUUAGAAAAUUAGGACGGGUUUCGGUGAUUGACUUAGUGGACAUUACUGGUGUUGACUUGUACUAUGUUGAGAAGCAGGCUCAGUGAAUUGUGGCGGAUCACACUGAGUUCAUGCUGAGUUCUUGCGCGACCAGCAAUCCCGCUAGGAGCAGCGCAACAGUAAGCGCCGCAAGAUGGUUUCCGAUCUCAAGCAGAGGAAACGCGAUGCCGUUGCUCCUGAUUCUGCCACGAAGGUGAGGGAAGAGGAGGAGAGGAUUGCGAGGCAGCUCAAGAAAAAGAUUGCGAUGAUUAGGGCUAUGCUUGCGAAGAAAGGGGCGCUGGAGGCUGCUGCUUUUAGGGCAGCUGAGAAGACGGAGGCAAAGAGGGGAGUGGAUCCUCUCCAGUGAGAAAAAAACUUGAUGAUAUCCAGUGUUCAAUUUAACCAUUCAUUGCUCUCUCUCUCUCUCUCUCUCUCUUAUUUAUUUCUGGUCCCACUCAUAGAAUCAAAGGUGAUAGAUCACACUGUAUUCUAUCAAUUGUUAAAAAAAACUGGAGAGGAUCCUUUUCCGGCAAAGAGUGGCGGUUUUUAGUGGGAUCAGAAUUAAGUCUCAAAGUAGCUCCUGAAGUUGCAUUCGAGCCUCAAAGUAAUUCAUAAAGUUAAUAAUUAUCUAAAUUUAUCCUCAAAAUUGUACUUCGGGACUCAUAGUGGCCCCUGAGAUAUUUUCUGUUCAUCGGAACCUUGAAACGACGUCGUUUUGAAGGAAAAAUAAAGAAAAAAAAGAAGCGUAGAAAAACGUCGUCGUUUUAUAUUUAAAAAAAUCCCCUUCUUUAACUCUGUUCUUCUUCUUCUUCAACUCUCUUCUUCUUCUUCAAUAGAUCACAAAAAUAAAAACCAACACCAUAAAAUAUCACAAAAAAAAACCGCAUUAAUCAUAACAGAUCAAUCAACUUAAAUAACAAGCAUCAAUCAACCUAAACAGCAACAAGCACAAAAAAUAGCAAUAAUAAAAAAAUAGUAAUAAUUACAGACUAUAAAAUAACUAAAAUUAACCAUUGUUGUUAUAUUGAAAUAGGAUCAGCAGCAACGAUCACCUAGAACAUUAGAGAACAAUGAUUGAAUGACUAAAAAAAUUAAAAAAAAAAAUCAUCAUGGCUAAGAGAGAAAACCGUGCCAGAACAAAGAAGAGGGAAGCAGAGGGAGAUAGAGCGGAGAUGGAGGCUGGCGAGCGGCGCAACGAUGACAGAGAAGGUUGAGGCUUUGUGCCUCUGCCUCUGUACUGUGUGUUUGAGUGUGGGAGACUAAGCUGGGAUGGGGGAUGAGCGGCGCGACACUGAAACAGAGGCCGACGAGAGACGACGACAGCGAGAGUUGACGAGAGCUCUUGUGAGUGUGAGAGUAUGGUUGGGGAGGGGGAGGGCGUCAGGUUGGAAAGAAGAAGGGAAAGGAGAAUGAACUCGGAUUGGGGAAGCAGAAGAGGAAGGGGAAUGAAAAGGACGUCAGGUUGGGAAAGCAGAAGGGAAAUGGGACGGGUUGGGGGAGGGAAAGGGGACGGGUUGGGAAUGGGAAAGGGAAAGGGAACGGGUUGGGAAUUGGAGGGGACUUUUUUCAACGCUUCUUCUUUCCUUUUUUUUUUUUCUUUUCCAAAAUGACGUCGUUUCGACGUUUUGAUGAACGGAAAAUGUCUCAGGGACUACUAUAAGUCCUAGAGUGCAACUUUGAUGAUAAAUUUAGGUAAUUAUUAACUUUAGGGAUUACUUUGAGACUCGAGUAUAACUUUAAAGACUACUUUGAGACUUAACUCGUAGGAUCAUGAGAAGAUUCUGAACGUUUCAUGGGAGAAAACAGGCAAGGAUUAUUCGGUAGCUAUAUGGGAGAAGUGAGAGUAGAGGAGCAGAUUCGGUGGGACAGUAAAUUUUGUAGUAGUGGUUAUAGAAGAAAAAUGAGAAAGAAAGAGAGAAAGAAGAGUAUUUAUAAAAUUAUAAAUAAAAAUUUAAUAAUUGAUCAUUUUUGUUGAACAAAACUUAUUUUUAUGAUCACUUUUGUUAAUAUUUGAAUUUUUCAUAGUAAAAAUUGAUCAUUUAUUCAAAAAAUAUAUAUAGAUGUACAAAGGUAUAGAUUUAAUGAUCUUCCUAAAAAUCCAAAAUUUGACAUUUAAACAACUAAAAAAUUGUGCUAAGUUUCAUUAUAUGUAUAAAUAUUGAUACUCUUUUCUUCUUCGUGGCUAUUUUUCUUUUUCUUUUUUUAUUUUUAAAGAAAUCAAAGGUAAUUUAUCAUUAUCAACAAAGAAAAAGUUAAGAUAAAAAAAAUUAAAACAUUACUAUAGGAAUCCAUAAUAAAGUGUUUGUGAAUGUGUAUAGUGUAAGGGCAAAAAAGUUAAAAAAAAGAAAACAAAAAGUGUAUUUAGUUUUUUUGUACCUGUUGUAAGACAAUAAAUAUGGAGAGAAAAAAUCAAUUUGGUUUAAGUUUGUCUGAAUAUAAAAUUUGGUGACAAUUUUUGUUAUGAUAGAACUUAUGCGAAGUUAUUAGUUGAAAAUUAUUAAAUAAUUUAACAUAUUAAACUAAAUUAUUAUUAUUUAACCACUUUUAAUUAUUAACUUCACCACAUAUGCAUACAUGUGAGUCUUUACUUUCUCUUAUUUUUGAUAGUUGUUAAAGCAAGUUUGACCCAAUAAAGAGAGUUCCAGUACAAGUAACAAAAAUAAAAACAACAACAAAACAUACAUGACAUACAUUUCUCAUUAAUUUUUUAUUUUUACCUACCCUAUCAUGUACACUAAAACACUAAGCACUAACUACAUAAUAAUUCUUUUGGUAUUGUCAUCAAAAUUAUUGUGAAUUAGAAUUUUAUUACUAUUCUCACAAUCGUUUUACAUCUCUCUCCACAUUUGGAUGAAAGUGAAAUUCUUUGGAUUAGCUUUUUCAAAUUGAAGUAGUCUAAUCUGUUGGAUAAAAUUAUUAAAAUUAUUUACCAUGUAGUGCAGGAGAAUGAGUGGAAUAGUUGAUGAUAAAGUUCCUCGAGGAGAAAUAGGAAUAUUAUGAAAAUAAGAACAUACUCAAAAACAAAAAUUCAUUAAAAAGUUUAAAUCUAGGAUACAGAAUCUAUAUCCCUCUCUGUAACCCAAACACAAGUUUUUUUUUCCCUGUUUCUGUCACAAUAUGGUGAGAUACAAAUUGAACACACUUUUCUCAACCAUCACUCUAUAAGAACAACUUCUCUCAACUCAUAUCAAUCAAAACAACAAAACAAAUAUAAUUCUUAAAUAUUCUAACUAAUUCCCAUUUCUGCUAGGGUUCAUUUACUUCAUUAGUUCAUUAUUACUAUAAAAAUUUUCUCAUUCUAAUUAAAUUAUUGCAAAACUUAAUUCCAGCACCUACUUCAACCAAAGCAAUGUCUGAAAAAAAGUACUAAAUUUAUGUCUGAAAAAGUACUCAAUUUUUUAUCAUCACUUGAAAGAUCCAAUAAUGAAAGACGCAAACCAUCUUUAAUUUCCAUCCAAUUUAACACUAACUAACAUGACAUUUCAUCGUAAUCAUGUCAGCAAAAUCGCAUAAGUUUGAUUUGACUGAAACCAGAGCUUCACUACAAAUAUAUAUAUAUUGAAGAAAAAAAAAAAAAAAAACCUACCUUAUAAGCUAAUUAGUAGGUUUCUGGCUUAGCCUCUGAUCCAUAAACCCAUUAAUUGACAUCAUUUUUGCGUGCAAGAUCUCAGAUCCAUUCUCCUCCAUCCCCACCAACCAAAAAUUUAAUUUUAUUCGAAACAAAAAUGACAAUAAACACAAAGCGGCUAGAUUGAAAGUUUUACAUCUCAUUUGAUUUAUAAACGAAAAUAAAAUAAAAAAUGUAGAUCUGCAAAAGAAAUCGAAGUCCAUAGAUGAAACAAGGAGAAGACGGUAGAUGUCUUUGGAAUUGAGAUCAUUGCAUGCAAAAAUGAUGAGAAUUGAAUGGGUUAUGCGACUGGAAGAAACUGCAUGCGUUUGCAAAAAUUAAAAUCCAUUAAUUGACAUCAUUUUUGCGUGCAAGAUCUCAGAUCUAUUCUCCUCUAUCCCACCAAACAAAAAUCUAAUUUUAUUUGAAACAAAAAUGACAAUAGAUAUCAUCAAAGUGGCUAAAUUAAAUAUUUUGCAGAAGAAAUCGAAGUCCAUGGAUGAAAAUGGAAAAUAUCUAUGGAACUGGGAUCAUUGCACGCAAAAAUGAUGAGAAUUGAAUGGUUUGGUGAUUGAAAGAAGCCGCAUGCGUCUGCGAAAAUUAGGUCAAUAUAAAUUGAAAAGAGAGAGAGAGAGAGUAAAUGGAAGAGGCUGAGCUCUACAAAAGAGUCAAACCCACUAUUAAGACAAACUUAAUGGCAUUUAUUGAAUGUAUUUUUUUUGUAUGGUAUCUUAGAUUUUUUUUAUUUGAUUUACAUAGAAUAUAUUCAACAAAGUUUUCAAAUUUAUUAUUUAACAUAUAAAAACUAUUACAUAUAUUUAUAAUAUGUAUUUAUAUAUGUGUAUGGUUUUUUAUGUGCACUUGUUAUAAAUGUGAGAGGACUAGAAUUCAACAAAAUUUGCUGAUGAGUGAUAAAAAAAAAUUAGUUAAAAUGUUAAAAGUAAAAAAAUACGUCUUUAUGAGUGUCUAAUAAUAAUUGUUAGCAAAAUAGUUUUUGUUUCCUCUUUCCACCCAUGUCAGCAUCUAUUUUAUUUUCACUGAAAUAAAAUCUACUACCUUUGAGAAAAAAGAAUAGUUUCUGUUUCCUCCAUUGUAAAAUUAUUUUACACUCUUUACCAAAACAAAAAUCAUUUUUAACUUAUAUUAAUUAUUUAAAGAAUCUUUUUGUUAUAUUAUUUUCACACGAAAAGAAAAGGGUUUUUUUUUUUUCUUUUUUCUAGGUAUCGGUAACAAUGAAAAGUGGCCCAAAGCCAAAUGCCUUUUGUUCUAGUCCUUUUCUUGUUUCUAAUUUCUAUUAAUCUUAAUGGAAAUAUUAUAUGAAAAUAUUUUUUUUGAGUGGAGUGUUUUGUUUUGUCUUUUUCUAAUUGGGAUUAGGGUUAGGGACCUAGGGUGUUGCUGCACUGUUUUGAGUUGAUUUAUUUCUGGUGGAUCGUGUUAGUUGGCUCAAAGCCUCAAACUAACAUAAUCUUUUUACAAUAUUACCAAUUUUGUUCUUUUUUUUUUUCUGUGUAAUACCAAUUUUGUUCAUUAUCAGCCACAAAACAAAAAAAAUGGUAUAUUGGUUCCUCACUCACUCUAGGCCUUCCGAGCCCAAAUGAGCAUAUUUCUAUUUUGAUAUGGAGUCCAUAUUGCACAUUCAAAUUUUGUUGGUAACUAAGUUCAACCAAAUUGAUUCAAACAAACAAAAAUCAAUUUUAUUAAUGAGAACGUGUAAACUCCAAUGAACACAUAUUAUAAUCUUAUUUAAUUAAAUAAAUAUAAAAAAAUAAAUUGCAUAUUAAAAUAUCAUAAGACAACACUAAAAUUACUUGAAUGAAUAUGUUUGUACUAUAUUCGAAUCUUAUUUAGUUGCAUGAAUGUAGGUUCAUAUUUAUUGGAUUAAAUUUUUGCCAAAAACAAAAAAAACAUCAAAAUUUUCUAAUUUUGACACCAAAAUAUUAUUACAAAAAUACAGAAAUUUCUUUUUAAUGUUGUAUUUUUUUUUAAUAUUUUUUUUGUUGCUCUUACUUCUUUUAAGAGCAUUACUUUUCAAUUAGACCUGAAUGCACACUUAAUGAAUUGAAGUCUUACAUACAGAAAUUUGAAAGAGAAUGAAAAAGGAAAAGAAAACGACAAUAACGACGAUAGCGAUGAUGAUGAUGAUGAUGAUGAUGGAGGAGGAAUGAAAAGAAGGAGGAGAAUAAAUUCAAAUGAGAAAGGAAGGAGGAAGAAGAAAAGUAAUUUUUCAACAUGCUUGUUCAUUCAAGUUGUUUGUUGGUUUGUCUUUCAUGUCGUUUGUUGGUUUGUCAUUCAUCAAAACCUACGAAUACAAACUUCGCAUACAAGCAACAUGAUUUACAAAAAGGAGGUAGUAGUGACGACGACGACAAUAACGAAAAAGAAAUAUGAGAAAAAAAAGGAGGAGAAUAAGAAGAGGCAGUAGUAACAGCGAUAUACGAGAAGAAGAAGAAGUACGAAAAAAAAGAAGCGCGUGAUCGAAAACAUAAUAUAACAAUUGGGUUGGAUUUUGUUAGAUAAAUAAUUUGAAUGUAAAACUUUUCUAUUUGAUAUGAUAAAAAUAUCCUCAAAUUUUUAGAAUAACAAAAUUAUUUAUUCAAUCGAAAUAGACUUGUAGCAUGUAACCUCUAUGACAUGAAUAAUACAUGUCAUGGGGUUAUCACAAUAUUAUGAACACGUUUUAUUAUGUGACAAUAAGGUCAUGAGUUAUAUUUUUGAUUUAGAUAAUUUUAAGAUAUAUAUAAAGAAUUGCUAUUCUUUUUUUUUUUUUUAAUUCUUUUAGAGUUUUAGAUAUCUAAUCAAGUUUAUAACCUUUUCUUUAAAAGAUUAAUGAUGGUUAUUACAGUGUAACUAAUUAGUUUUAGCUAUUAAACUCAUAAAAUUGAGUUUGAUUUAUUAAAUAUUAUGCUGACUCAUAAAAAAUUAUUAUUCUCUCUUUCAUAUUUUCAAAAUGUAAUAUUUUAGUUUUUUUCUUUAGAAUUUGAGACCAUUCACAAUUAUCAAAUCGGAUUUUUGACAUUUUAGAUUUUCUUAGACUCGAUUUUCAACAUUAAUCUUAGAGAAAUAGUUCAAAACAAUGAUAUAUCUUUUUUUUCCUUUUUGAACAAAUUUAAACCUAUUUUUUUGUUUGAAAAAUCUUAUGUGGAUUAGAAUUAAAUGCAAUAUAUACAGAGUUUAAUGAUAUAUCCUUAGAGUUUAAUGAUAUAUCCUUAUGAUACAUUGAUAUGUAUUAUGUAUAUAAAUGGUUUUUUUAUAGACAUGAUACAUAAUAGAAUUUAAUGAUGUUGUUUGAUUCAUGUAACAAAUCCCAUCUAGUAAGACAAAAUUUUGUUAUUGUUUAUUGUUGUUGAUAUGUAUGAGUGUUUGACUGUGUUUAUUGUCAUCAAUAUAUAAACACAUAUUAAAAAGUGGUUUAAUUAUUCUAUUGGUUCUAAGGUAGAGAAAAUCGAGAUUUUACGUGAAAUCGAAAAAGUAAAUUAAGAACGUAUAACGUAAAAUCUUAACAAGAUUUAAAUCGUAAAAUCGUCAGACUUAGUACAAAUUUGGUAAAAUUGAUAGACUCAUUUAAAAUCAUAAUAUCGAAAGAUUUUAAGAGUUAAAUCGAGAUUUUAGCUACUAUAUUUGGUCCUAUAGUUUUAUUAAAUUUUUAAUUAGAUUUCUAUAUUUUUUUUAAUAAUUGGUUCUUAUAUUUUUUUAAUUUUAUAAUUAAGUCCUUUUCAUGUAAAAAACAUUAAAAUUUUCAGAAUAUUUUUUUCAAAAUACAUGUGGUCAAAUAUCUAAUUAGAUUUUUAAUUAUGAAUACUUUCAAUUUGCAAAAAAAAUUCAGUUAAUUAUAAUAUUUUUUACACUAAAAAAACCUAAUUAUAAAUUUAAUAAAACUAUAAGAACUAAUAUAAUAAUUAAAUCUUAAAAAUUUAACAUUUUUCUUUUGUAUUUACUGUAUUUGAAUCAACACUAAUUACAAUUUUAAUUAGGUGGAAAUUCAGUUGCAGUCGAUUUCACAUGAAGUUGAUACCUGAGAGCCGUUAGAUGAUUUGAUUGAUUUGACUAAAUUUUCAUCUAACAGCUCUCAGAUAUCAACUUCACUUGAAUUUUCACCUUUUAAUUAUUAUUAUUUUUUACUUAAAACAUUGGUCCCUUAAUAUUUCAUAGAAGGAAGUAUAUAUAGUUAUAUACACACUUCUUCAAUGGGAAGAAGACGUACGAGGAAACAUUGAUGAUCGAAAAAUAAAAAUAAUAAUGACUAUGCUGCGAAAUUAAUUAUAUUACAUCACCUCAUCAAAAUACCAAAAAACAAGAACAUUAUAAAAGUUAUUGGGAUGUAUACAAGUUUCUUUUUCUUUUUGAGGAGAUCGAAUCCAUGGUUUGCCUAGAAAAGUUGGCCAGGGAUCCACGAAAAUAAAUGCUAUAUAUAUGCCAAAUAAUUUUUUCCUCACAUAUAUAGAAGAAUUUUAAAUCAACUAGAACAAAAAUGAGAAGAAAAAAAAAAAAAGAGAAAAAACUGGUGAAGGGACUAGUUUGGUGUACGACAUUCAAUUUUAGGGACUAAAAUGAGUCACUUAAUAUAAAGUGAGGGACUAAUUUGGUGAGGUGACACGUGGACGAAUACUGUUGCGACAUGUGACACAAUCAGACACGUGGCCAAAUAACAUUAUGACACGUGGCACAACCAUCCACGUCAGUAUGCCAUGUGUCACUGGUCACCACAUCAUCAUACCAUUACACGUGGUCAAAUCAUGAAGUAACACGUGUCACUUAUAGUCCACGUCAUCAUGCCAUGUCAUCACAUCGUUAAUGGAAAAAAGGUCAGAGACUAAUAUGGUGCAUUUUUUUUAAUCUCAGGGACAUAAUUGGUGUAAUUGAAAUCUCAGGGACAAUUUUAGUGCAGAACGCCAAAUCUCAGAUACCAUCUUGAGGUUUAACUCAAAAUUUGACACUUAAACAACUAAAAAUUUGUGCUAGGUUUCAUUAGCGAUUCUUCUCUUUCUUUUUAUUUUCAAAGAAAUCAAAGGUAAUUUAUCAUUAUCAACCAAGAAAAAGUUAAGAUAAAAAAAUUCUAACAUUACUAUAGGAAUCCAUAAUAAAGUGUGUGUGGACGUGUAUAGUGUAAGGGCAAUAAAAUAAAAUAAAGUGUAUUUAGUUCUUUUGUACUUGUUGUAAGACAAUAGAUAUGGAGAGAGAAAAUCAAUUUAGUUUAAGUUUGUCUGAAUAUAAAAUUUGGUGACAAUUUUUUUUAUAAUGAAAUUCAUGUGAAGUUAUUAGUUAAAAAUUAUUAAAUAAUUUAACAUGUUAAACUAAAUUAUUAUCUAACUACUUUUAAUUAUUAACUUCCCAGACAACUGCAUACAUGUGAGUCUUUACCUUCUCUUAUUUUUUGAUAGUUGUUACAGCAAUUUCGAUCCAAUAAAGGGAGUUUCAGUACAAGUAACAAAAAUAAAAACAAUAACAAAUCAUACAUGACAUACAUUUUUUAUUAGUUUUCUAUUUUCACCUACCUUAUCAUAUACACUAAAAUACUAAACACUAACUACACAAUAAUUCCUUUGACAUUGUCAUCAAAAUUAUUGUGAACUAAAAUUUUAUUACUAUUCUCACAAUGGUUUUACAUAUCUCGCCGCAUUUGGAUGAAAGUGAAAUUCUUUGGAUUAGCUUUUUCAAAUCGAAGUAAUCUAACCCGUGGGAUAAAAUUAUUAAAAUUAUUUACCAUGUAGUGCAGGAGAAUGAGUGGAAUAGUUGAUGAUAAAGUUACUCGAAGAGAAAUAGGAAUAUUGUGAAAAUAAGAACAUGCUCAAAAACAAAAGUUUAUUAAAAAGUUUAGAUCUGGGAUACGAAAUCUAUAUCCCUCUUUGUAACCCAAACACACGUUUUUUUCCCUACCUCUGUCACAAUAUGCAGAGAUACAAAUUAAACACACUUCUCUCAACCAUCACUCUAUAAGAACAAUUUCUCUCAACUCAUAUCAAUCAAAACAACAAAACAAAUAUAAUUCUUAAAUAUUCUAACUAAUUACCAUUUCUGCUAUGGUUCAUUUACUUCAUUAGUUCAUUAUUACUCCAAAAAUUUACUCAUUCUAAUUAAGUUAUUGCAAAACUUAAUUCCAACGCCUAGCAAUGUAUGAAAAAGAACUAAAUUUAUGCAAUGGACCAGUGACAACUUCAUGAUAUUCCAUAAAAAAAUACCAUCACUUGAGAGAUCGAAUAAUGGAAGACGCAAACCAUCUUUAAUUUCCAUCCAAUUUAACACUAACUAACAUGACAUUUCAUCAUAAUCAUAUCAGCAAAAUCGCAGAAGUUUGAUUUAACUGAAACCAGAGCUUCACUACAAAUAUAUAUAUAUUGAAGAAAAAAAAAAAAAAAAAACCUACCUUAUAAGUUAAUUAGUAGGUUUCUGGCUUAGCCUCUGAUCCAUAAACCCAUUAAUUGACAUCAUUUUUGCGUGCAAGAUCUCAGAUCUAUUCUCCUCCAUCUCCACCAACGAAAAAUUUAAUUUUAUUCGAAACAAAAAUGACAAUAAACACAAAGCCUUGUAAGCUAACUAGUAGGAUUCUGGCUUAGCCUCUGAUCCAUGAACCCACUAAUUGACAUCAUUUUUGCGUGCAAGAUCUCAGAUCCAUUCUCCUCCGUCCCCAACAACCAAAAAUUUAAUUUUAUUCGAAACAAAAAUGACAAUAAACACAAAGCGGCUAGAAGUUGUACAUCUCAUUUGAUUUAUAAACGAAAAUAAAAUAAAAAAUGCAGAUUUGCAAAAGAAAUCGAAAUCCAUAGAUGAACAAGGAGAAGACGGUGAAUGUCUUUGGAAUUGGGAUCAUUGCAUGCAAAAAUGAUGAGAAUUAAAUGAGUUCUGCGAUUGGAAGAAACUGCAUGCGUUGGCAAAAAUUAAAACCCAUUAAUUGACAUCAUUUUUGCGUGCAAGAUCUCAGAUCUAUUCUCCUUUACCCCACCAAACAAAAAUCUAAUUUUAUUUGAUACAAAAAUGAUAAUAAACACAAUCAAAGCGGCUAAAUUAAAUAUUUUGCAUCUCUUUGAUUUAUAAACAAAAGCAAAAUAAAAAAAAUCAGAUUUGCAGAAGAAAUCGAAGUCUAUAGAUGAAGAUGAAAAAUAUUUAUACAACUGGGAUCAUUGCACGCAAAAAUGAUGAGAAUUGAAUGGUUCCGCAGUUGAAAGAAGCCGCAUGCGUCCGCAAAAAUUAGGUCAAUAUAAAUUGGGAUUGAAAAGAGAGAGAGAGAGUAAAUGGAAGAGGCUGAGCUCUACAAAAG